CUGGAUGUGAAGAGAGGUGUGUAGGUAUUUAUCCAAACGCCAUAGGAAAAAAUAUGGUUAAGACACCACAAUCAAAUGGUACUUGUGAUGAUUGGCACAGUUAUUAUUUAUGUUUGUGUUCGUCAUUGCCUGUGUUUUCAUUCAAGAACUUUCAAGCAAGGAUAUUUUAAGCAGAAGCAGAAGAAGAAGAAGCACUGGACACUAUGCUCAACUGUUGCUGUAAGGAGAAAAAAUAUUGCAGCUAAGAGUGGUGAGAGUCGGAACAAAAUGCAUCAGGAGCAGGAAACUGUUACGUCAAGGUGGUUAAUGGUAUAAAGAAAGAAAAAACAAAACAAUGUGAC
rnacentral:lncRNA from 1 species